CACUGGGACUGAGACCCGGCCCCAGAUUCUUACGGGAGGCAGCAGUGGGGAAUAUUGCACAAUGGGCGCAAGCCUGAUGCAGCGACGCCGCGUGAGGGAUGACGGCCUUCGGGUUGUAAACCUCUUUCAGUAGUGAAGAAGCGAAAGUGACGGUACCUGCAGAAGAAGCACCGGCUAACUACGUGCCAGCAGCCGCGGUAAUACGUAGCGUGCGAGCGUUAUCCGGAAUUAUUGUGCGUAAAGAGCUCGUAGGCGGUUUGUCGCGUCUGUCGUGAAAGUCCGGGGCUUAACCCCGGAUCUGCGGUGGGUACGGGCAGACUAGAGUGCAGUAGGGGAGACUGGAAUUCCUGGUGUAGCGGUGGAAUGCGCAGAUAUCAGGAGGAACACCGAUGGCGAAGGCAGGUCUCUGGGCUGUAACUGACGCUGAGGAGCGAAAGCAUGGGGAGCGAACAGGAUUAGAUACCCUGGUAGUCCAUGCCGUAAACGUUGGGCACUAGGUGUGGGGACCAUUCCACGGUUUCCGCGCCGCAGCUAACGCAUUAAGUGCCCCGCCUGGGGAGUACGGCCGCAAGGCUAAAACUCAAAGGAAUUGACGGGGGCCCGCACAAGCGGCGGAGCAUGCGGAUUAAUUCGAUGCAACGCGAAGAACCUUACCAAGGCUUGACAUGUUCUCGAUCGCCGUAGAGAUACGGUUUCCCCUUUGGGGCGGGUUCACAGGUGGUGCAUGGUUGUCGUCAGCUCGUGUCGUGAGAUGUUGGGUUAAGUCCCGCAACGAGCGCAACCCUCGUUCCAUGUUGCCAGCACGUAAUGGUGGGGACUCAUGGGAGACUGCCGGGGUCAACUCGGAGGAAGGUGAGGACGACGUCAAAUCAUCAUGCCCCUUAUGUCUUGGGCUUCACGCAUGCUACAAUGGCCGGUACAAUGGGUUGCGAUACUGUGAGGUGGAGCUAAUCCCAAAAAGCCGGUCUCAGUUCGGAUUGGGGUCUGCAACUCGACCCCAUGAAGUCGGAGUCGCUAGUAAUCGCAGAUCAGCAACGCUGCGGUGAAUACGUUCCCGGGCCUUGUACACACCGCCCGUCUGGCCCGAAAGUCGGUAACACCCGAAGCCGGUGGCCUAACCCUUGUGGGGGAGCCG
rnacentral:rRNA from 1 species